UUUGCUUAGACGGUAUAGGCGUGAGGUUAAGCUAUUUGAUGGCAGAUUUUAUAAUAAAUAAAUAAAUAUAUACUAUUCCGCCCGGCAAAACCGAAAUCGCGCAUAUAAUUCAACAUCAUCAUAAUAAAGAAAUGGAUCGAUACGGUCACAGACAAUCCGUUCCCGGCGCAAACCGCGUUGAAACUCCUCUUCCCAUUGCUCAAAACGAAUAGCCAUCUUUACCCUGCAUUAGUGUUGAAAUCUUUUUAUGUUUUUUUCUGUUAACGGUUCUUUAUCGUUAGUAUGGAACUUACACCAGCUAGAGGGGAGGUGUAAAAGAUAAUUUAUAACUUAGUGUUACGUUGAAACUAUCUGCUUGGUGCAACUGCUAUUUUGUUAGCAGAGUGUAAAGUCGAACGUUUGGGUGAUUUACGUUCAACGUAGCCUAAGUGGGACCUUACGUUCUGCUGGUGCAACCAGCUGCAGGUCAUUACUACCGUAAUUUUCGGACUAUAAGCCGCGCCUUUUUUCCCAUUUUUCGAUUCUUCGGCUUAUAUAACGUUGCGGCUAAUCUAUGGAUUUUUAAAGCUAACGGCCACUAGGGGGACCUCCUAAAUCUAUGGAUUUUACAGGUUACAGUCCACCAACUUUAACUCCAUGUGCUCUAUGACAGGUCCGUGCCCCCCCACCUUUAAGCGGCGGGCUCCAGCAGGAAAAGCUGGAGGCCGGAAAAGAGUGAAACAGCUAGCGUGCAAAAGUAAAAGUGGAACCGAGAGUGGUACGAGAGACAGAACGAGAGCAAGACAGACAUUACGAGAGCGAAACAGCCAUCUCUUUCCCAACAAUCCCAUCUGUGCACGAACCCUUACAUAUGGGGGGCGGGGCCUACGCAGGGCUGCCUUUCUUCCCGCCCUUCGGGCCCCUCCCCCCCCUGCUGGCGCUGGCCUAUCAGCAGCAGUACGAGGUCGGCGGGACCAGCAACCCCUUCCUGGUCCACGCCCCCCCGGCCCAGACCUCCAAUCUGACCCUGCCCAAACCCCCCGCCACCCCGCCCCGGAGACCACCAGGACGCUGGACUACCCGGAGCCCAGAGCCAUCCCCGAGGGUAAGGCCGUGGCCACGCCGACCAUGGAGGGGAGAGGGAGGUCCACCCAGGACACAGCCCGUGGCGGGCAGGCAGGGAGUCCAGCCAGGAGCGAGCUGCAGUAGUGGAGCCGGGAGAUGGCGACCACUUGGACCAGGUUCUGAGCUCCUUCCUUUCUGGGGGAGGGCCGGAUCCUGCGGAUGUUGUAGAGGGCAGAUGUGCAGGAUGGGGUCACCGCGCUGAUGUUCGCGGAGCAGCAUAACUGAUUGACCAGUACCACACUGAGG
ensembl:lncRNA